rnacentral:lncRNA from 1 species
CCGGGGCUGUGGAAAGCAAGUCGCUCUUCUAUUUCACUGCCUUCUCUUCCAGAUUUUCUAAGCUCUUAUUUUCAGGCAGUUUGCUGCUCAAGAAUCUUCGAGGGCCCCCUUUGUCUACAGGAAAUGCUCCACCCCGUCUGCCGGUCACAGCUCUCUGUGGCUGGCUCCAAGCUCUCUUCCCAGGUUCUCACGAGCAGCUGGAUAUCAGCCAUGUGCACCCUGGUGAGGAUGCUCAUCAGCCAGAGUCCUGAGAGCACAAAAGAGAUCAUCAGGGGAAGGUGUCUGCCCCAGAUGUCAUAGAAACCCCCGGGAGCCAGAAUUGCCAUUUGAAGCGGCUCUGGAAGGAAGCGUGGUUUCCCUAGGUGGAGAACGGGCGCUUCGGUGUAUGCAAAGAGAUCUGCAGGGGCAUGAACCCAGCUGCCCAUGGCUGUCCCUGGGCCUCCCCUUUAGUGAGAAGAUGAGAGACUGCAGACAACAGUAGGUAUUACAUUACAAUACAAGACAUCAUAUUAGCCCAAUUUCAUGAUUGAGGAAAAUGAGCAACAGAGAAGUCAAGUGCCUUGAUGAGGUCACACAGCCAGGAAGUAGCAGAGGUGGGGUUUGGAUACCAGCAGGCUAGCUGCACGGCCCCUGCUUUGAAGCACUUAUGAAAACUGCCUCUGGACUCUUGGGUGUUCAAUGGUCCCUCUGUCACCCAGUUUAGUCCUAAUUUGGCUCCACAGAGUCUUCCUCCCUGGACGGUACAAAGGCCCAUGCCGGCCGAGAGUCACAUCUAGGUCUUUUUGUAAGGGAUCUACGCCAGCAGAUCUUUCUAGGCCCUUGUUAGUUUCCCCUGAGGCUUCCCCCUGCUCCUCACCCUCCCUGCCCAGGCCCCCAGCCCUGCCGCUCCUUUGUGGGGAUCAUGGCACCCGUGGCCAGCUCGGCUCUGGGGAACCGUGAUUCCACUCACCCUGCGGAAAGCCACCCACUGCGUCCUGCCCGCACGCCACGUCCUCCCCAAACAGCUGAGCCUGUGCAAUGUGAGAGGGGAGACGCUUGCCAGAGGUUUCCGGAAAGCAUCCAGAGGUCACUCUGGGCUGGCUCAAGUGGAUCGGGCCCUGACCACUGCUCUGAAUAGGCACUGUCCCACCCUGGGGCCACUCCCUCAGCACCAGAGCAGGCUAAUUGAUGGGUGGGGAGGUGUGGAGGGCUGGAAGCUGGUUUGCAGCUGAAGGAGGCAAGAGGGGAGCCAGGCAUUUGACUCAGCAGCUGACAAAUAUGAGAUGCCAAGAGAAGGUGGAGGGGAGCAUCCAGAUCUUCAGCCCCAAACUGCCUGCCCAGGCCCAGACCCCAUCUACACACCCAACCCAAUCUCUACAGCCGGCCUACCCACCCCCCUCCCUAACCAGCAAGCCCCUUACCUCCCAUGCCACCAUCGACCCUCUCAGCCAAUACCCAACCCACCCAGCGCUCAGAACACACACUCCCCACCCCCACCUGCUCUCACAAUACUCACCCUGCUCAGCUACAGCCUGGGGUGUGUGCUUCCCAUCUGGCU